rnacentral:rRNA from 1 species
CCUACGGGAGGCAGCAGUGGGGGAUAUUGCACAAUGGGGGAAACCCUGAUGCAGCGACGCCGCGUGUAGGAAGACGGUCCUCUGGAUUUUAAACUACUGUCCCCAGGGACGAAGAUGACGGUACCUGGGGAGGAAGCUCCGGCUAAGUACGUCCCAGCAGCCGCGGUAAUACGUAGGGAGCGAGCGUUGUCCGGAAUUACUGGGUGUAAAGGGAGCGUAGGCGGGGAUGCAAGUUGGGUGUUAAAUCUACCGGCUCAACUGGUAGUCGCACUUAAAACUGCAGCUCUUGAGUGAAGUAGAGGCAGGCGGAAUUCCUAGUGUGGCGGUGAAAUGCGUAGAUAUUAGGAGGAGCACCAGUGGCGAAGGCGGCCUGCUGGGCUUUUACUGACGCUGAGGCUCGAAAGUGUGGGGAGCAAACAGGAUUAGAUACCCUGGUAGUC